GCUGCUGUAGCUCACUGGCAGAGCACUCCCUUGGUAAGGGAGAGGUCGAGAGUUCGAUUCUCUCCAGCAGCA
rnacentral:tRNA from 1 species